GACGAACGCUGGCGGCGUGCCUAAUACAUGCAAGUCGAACGCAGUGGGGACGGGUGAGUAACACGUGGGUAACCUCCCAUCAGAGGGGAUAACGCGUGGAAACAGGUGCUAAACCGAUACUGAUGUAUGGACCCGCGGUGCGUUAGCUUGUUGGAGGGGUAACGGGUCAACAAGGCCCCGAAGCAUAGCCGGCCUGAGGGGUUGUGCGGCCACACGGGGAGUGAGACACGGCCCAGACGCCUACGGUAGGCAGCAGUAGGGAAUCUGCGGCAAUGGACGAAAGUCUGACCGAGCAACGCCGCGUGAGUGAAGAAGGUUUUCGGAUCGUAAAACUCUGUUGUUAGAGAAGCGGUAUCUAACCAGAAAGCCACGGCUAACUACGUGCCAGCAGCCGCGGUAAUUC
rnacentral:rRNA from 1 species